AGUUUUGUGCAGUGGCAGUAUCAUAGCCAAUGAGGUUUAUGCGAGGCGUGAUUAUUGCUAAUUGAAACAACUGUAUUUCAGCAAGACUCCACUUCCUUUACCAAUUUCUGCAUCAGUCAGGAUGGACU
ensembl:snRNA U4 U4 spliceosomal RNA